rnacentral:rRNA from 1 species
AGAGUUUGAUCAUGGCUCAGGAUGAACGCUAGCUACAGGCUUAACACAUGCAAGUCGAGGGGCAGCAUGUUGGUUGCUUGCAACCAACGAUGGCGACCGGCGCACGGGUGAGUAACGCGUAUCUAACCUACCCUUGUCCAUCGGAUAACCCGUCGAAAGGCGGCCUAACACGAUAUGCGGUUCACAGCAGGCAUCUAACGUGAACGAAAUGUAAAGGAGAAGGAUGGGGAUGCGUCUGAUUAGCUUGUUGGCGGGGUAACGGCCACCAAGGCUACGAUCAGUAGGGGUUCUGAGAGGAAGGUCCCCACAUUGGAACUGAGACACGGUCCAAACUCCUACGUGAGGCA